rnacentral:rRNA from 1 species
GACAGAGGGUGCAACGUUGUUCGGAAUUACUGGGCGUAAAGCGCGUGUAGGCGGCUUUGCAAGUCGGGUGUGAAAUCCCACGGCUCAACCGUGGAAGUGCACUCGAAACUGCAAGGCUAGAGUCCUGGAGAGGAAGGUGGAAUGCUUGGUGUAGAGGUGAAAUUCGUAGAUAUCAAGCGGAACACCGGUGGCGAAGGCGGCCUUCUGGACAGUGACUGACGGCUGAGACGCGAAAAGCGUGGGGAGCAAACAGGG